UUCAGGUGCACUUUUUUUUGUCCGGGUCACAGCAUGGCAUGGGGUUUUUCCCAGACCUCUCAGCCAGGACACCUGUAAGGCCUUAACAUGCUUUAUGACACGUUUCAUGUUUCUUGUAUAUCUUAGUUGCUUUAUUUUCAUCUGUUCAAGGUUUCAGAGUGGAUCUGGACCAGAUGAAGGGCCUGCCCCACAGCCAGACCAGAAUGCUUGAAGUGUGCUUUGACACUGCCCACCAGGCAGAGGGCAGCGUGGAUGUGCUGCUGCCCAUAGAGGUACCACAGCUCUUGGGGCAGGCAGCAGGCUGGGCACAGCAGCAGAUGUCACCUGCAGCCUCUGCUGACUUCUCUGUCCUUCUGCAGGUGGCAAAAGGCCCCACGUAUAACAUCCGCCUCCAUGCCACUGUGUUGGAACUGUCGCUCGACCUCUCCAAGAAGACGCUGCAGUUCUCUGAUAUCCUCGUUGGGCAGUGCCAGAUUGAGACAGUCCGGCUCUACAACUGGUUCCAAGUGCCCUGCAAGUGGUUCAUUAAGGCCGUGAAGCGUGUUACAAAGGACAAUCAAUGGACACCAGGUCAGAGGCAGCAGGCGCUGGAGGAUGAGCCCUGUCCCUUUUCAGUGACGCCCUCCAAAGGAACCCUUGAUGCAGGAAGGUGGCAGGACUUACAAAUCCAGUUUACACCCAAGGAGGAGGUGAGUUUGGCAGGUGUCAGCCCAGGAGGCCUGUCAGGGCUAUCUGGAAAUGAGGGCCUGGUGCAG
rnacentral:lncRNA from 12 species